CCUUCACCUCAUCAUGGCACUGCAAAUUAUUAGCGUGCUUCUUUUCACUGUGUUUUUCUCUGGAGCACUGACACUGAUGUGUUACAACUGUACCACUGCAGUUCCAUCUGGAACAUGCACACAAACUGCCAACUGUUCUUCAAACUCACAUUGCAGCUCCAUGAUCACAUACAAUGGUCAUGGCCAGAAGUCUUGUGCAGACUCGUGUGCUAAUUGGAGCAUAAAUAUUGGGCAGUACAACACGUCCUCCCACUGCUGUGCUUCAGAUCUCUGCAACAAUGCUACAGAUUCAAACUCAGAUAAUGGACGGAUGUGUUACACCUGCAGUGACACAAACUGCUCAAACACCCAAACACUGAAAUGUAAAGGUGAUGAGAACCAGUGCAUCAUUGCAACAGUUGGAUUGAACACCACUUUCAAAGGAUGUGCAAGCCAAAACAUCUGCGACAACAGUGAACUAGUGAAACUUGCACUAGCCCCAGUGCUAAUCAUUUCUUCUGUUUCGUGUUGUGGAGCAAACCUGUGUAAUAAUGCCCCGAGUACGACACAGGGACUGUUUCUGCUGGUACCAGUACUUUCCUUCCUUUUUUCCAUCUGAGAUCUGUUUUAGGAGGUUUUCUUUUGGUUUUAUUAGUAUUUGGACGCUCAGUUUUGUCAAUGUAAAGCAAUUUCAAACUUUUUUGAUUAAUUGAUUAUUUGUUUAAAAUGACCAUCUGUCUGGUAAGUGUGCUGUUGUAUUUCUAAUCAUAAAUCUAAUCAUGUAAAAUAAACAUUAAGAUUACUUUAUUAGCAGUCUUAUUAAACACUAAAAUUUGAAUGAUCAGAAACCCUUGGCUAUAUUCUUGUCAAUGUGCAGAAUAAUAAGAAAGAGAGAAAAGUAACAGUGAUUAAUAAUUUCAUAUUGAUGAAAGUUGAAUUACGGCACAUUUUCACUGUUACAUGAGCCCAUUCACUUUAGGUGUGCUGUGUAUAUUUAUAUAGUAGUAUUUCUCCCAAUAGAUUGCAUUUUGUGGGCAGAGUGAGAGAUAGUAUGAAACUAGGUUUGUGAUUUAAUAAGAUGAAAUAAUGAAUUAAUGAACAUAACAUUUCAAGCAGUACUUCUAUGUUGAUAAGGUAAUGAUUGUCAAGUCGAGUACUGAAGCCCAUUCACAAUAUAAUAUAAUAUAAUAUAAUAUACAGAUUAAAAUGCAUGUUUGAGCUGUUUUAACUGAAAGCCGCUUGAACUGACAUGUCUUAAAAUAUGUCAGUGCCAUUGUUUUGUCUCAAGAUGCACACCAAUAAUGUUUUUUUUUCCCUUAAGAAAAAAAAAAAAAUCUACUUAAAUGUCCUAAUUGAACUAAGGCUUAUUUCUGGCUUAAUCUAAGCUCUAUCUGUGAAACCAGGCUUAUAUGAGUCAAAUUAAUUUUUAUAAUUUAAGAAAAUAUGGCAUUAUGAUAUAACAUUGGGAGAACAAAAAUAAAUAUGUUUAAAUAUGUUUUUCAUUAAAUCAGAUAUCUAAACUAAAGUUAAAGUAAAACUACUACAAACACAAGGAAAUAUAAAUGUUGACAAUUGACCAUUUGCAUCUACAACCACAAACAUGAGAAAUUAAUCUACAUUAGACAAUAUGUUUUCGAGCUGUUCAUCAAUGUUUACUCCGGCCUGGCGUACAUAAUUCUGCACAUAUGAUUCCAUAGAAUUAUGCAGAAUGCUUGCUGAAGGGUUACUCUGUUAUAAGGGUUGAAGUCAUUCACUUUGCGUCUAAUCCUUGCCAAAAUGCUGUUUUUACUCUCUUGAAAAUGAUUAGCAAUGUGACCUAUAGUGACUAGUGUAAGAUUCAAACCAGCAAUUUAACUCUGAAUUUAGGAUUUAAGAUCAAGUUUGGUACUGUCAAGUAGCCACUAAGCUGUGCUCAUAAUGUUUAAAAAUUAGAGGUUGCUCUGAAAAAACCCACUCAACCAGGAAUAGAAUUCAUGGUCAUAUAUUGUUUUCAAUAAAUCACUGAUUGCAAUGAACUAAUGUUUGUUUGAUGAUUUUGGCAAAGUUUGAAUUAGAUUAAAUGAAGUUUAUCAAAGUUUGCCUUUUGAGGUUUGUACAGCUCAGUUGUGUGUUCUCACAACCACUAUUGACUGACACAUUACACUAUUUGGACGGUGUAUGAGAUUUAUUUAUUAUAUUAUAUGAGGAUUGGCUUAUGAAUAUUAAUUAGAUCACGUGAUUGGAAGGUUACAAAGGGCGUCUGCAUGGCGUAAGUAAUAUUAAUGAGCAAUGCAGUUCAUUCUCAUAUGCUGGUGGGCGGGGCCUAUCAGCUCCACUCAGCGGCGCUCGUGCCUUGCUUUCAUUGUUUUCACUCGUAAGUGUAAUGUUUAGCUAUUGAUCUGUCCUGAGAUCUGUACUUCACCGGUUUAUCUUCACUAACAGGUGAGUGUGUUUUUAUUGCCCUUUUAUCCUAAACUUGAUUUAAGUAUUAUUUAAUAAAUAAAAUCAAAAUAACGGUUAACUGACACUAGUACACGAUUCUGAAAAGUAAUUAGUUCACUUGUUAAAAAGCACAAAAGUCCGUUUACAACUUUUGCUAAAAAAAAAAAAAAAAAGCACGUCUAGGUUGUGACAAGAAUGUCAAUUUGAGAGGCCCUCAGUGUAGAACAUGGUGAUGAGCUCUGUUAAUAAAUAACUGGGAGAAGAACCAAGUAAUAUUACACAGAAGAACAUUCUAAGCCAACCAUUCUUUCCCAAAGAUCUGUUUUCUAUUUGUCUCCAUAUAUUGCUUAAUACACUUUAAUAAAAUGAGAGUAGCUCACUCAGAGUUGUGUGUAAUAUCUAUUUUUAUUUGUAAUAAAGCUGUAGUCAUGGGCAAUAUGAAUAAGCAAAACCUCUGUUAGUUUACAGACUUACUGAUGUCAGAAUUAUUUGCGGUCAUAGAAACAUGCCAUUUAUGACAAAUCAAAAUUACAUUCCAUGACAUCCUUUAUGUCAUCACUGAUUAACAUAAUUUUGAAUCUGAAACCUUUGUUUUAUCAUAGUAAGAUCACUUAGUCAUUACUUGCAGAUGAAGUUAAGCAGGCAUGUUUUGGGUUUUGAAAGAUAUGGUGGUGACUAAAUGAUGACAGAAUUGUCGUUUUUGUCUGAGCUAUUGAUUAACCAUUUUAAAUGAAGCUUCUUUUGCGACUGUUCUGUUCUCAGGGCUUCCUGUUCUCAGGAUAUGUUCAUUGACAGAUGCCUGCUGGAGGUAACCGAAAAACACUCCAGCCAUUUCUUUCACCCUGGAGUGGACAUGGUCCAUUGGGCCACUCAUUUGGUGACGUGUAUAUAUACAAACAUAUAACAUAUACAUGUCACCAAAUGAGUGAAAACAAAUAUAUUUGUUUUUCAAACAUCAGCCAGGAGCAGUACUCUUAAUUUCGUUGUACGCAAAUGCAAUGACAAUAAAUGCUUUUCAAUUCAAUGUGUCUGGAUACAGGCUCUAAUGUAUUCUGCAUUAGACACUUGUCCCCCUACGGCCACUAUCGCUGUGGACUUCUCGGUGCCAUACCCCAUGACUUACUUUCAGACCCGCAAUCCCAUCCAGAACAUAGUUACCAACUCCCUUUUCCAAGAGGUCUAUGUGGCCUCUCAGAACGUCAUUGAGGCAGUGAAUGUCACUCUAGGUAAACUUUGGGAACUCCGUACAGGACCGGUGGCCAGCCCGGAGUGUGAGAUAUGCGAUUUGUGUGAUAUCGCAAGAGAUCCCUUACACAAGGACACAGACAAUGAGGUGUUGCUACAGCUUCUACACAAAGGACUUUGUCUACUUCUUGUCUGUCCCACUUGGACUCUUCACCCUUUCAGAUGAGACUAGGCUGUCUACCACGCCACAAGUGGGAUAUGCGACGGUACCAUGAAAUUGUUUUAGAAUGUCGCUUUGAACCCAAACGGCGAAGGAGAAGAAAUGACAAUAACUGAUGGAUGGAUGGAUAGAUAGAUAUGUAGGAGCCAGUGUGAAUGUAAAUGUAUUUUAGGCUGUCACCAGGUGGUUUAAACAGGUGUUUCUUACACAUAUUAAUAUUUGUUAUAUGUACAGUGCCAUACAUUCCAAAUGCUUUUUUUUCUCACUAAUACACAUGUAUGAAAAUUGUAUGUACCUUAAUCCAUGCUGUUCGGGGCUGCAUUCCAGUUUGUUUUUUUAUGGCCUUCCCUCACUAACUUCCUUCAGUCUUGUUGACUCGGAUGUAUGUCAUUGCUUACGUUGCACGAGUGCCCACUACUGGCGGAACUUGUGCAAUGGGCUGAAUUGGAACGUCCUCAGCCCUUGAUCACUUGGAAUCUGCUAUGGAGUUGAUUUAUUAUUUACAAUUUUUUCCCUUAUGAAACUGUGUAAUGCAGCAUUCUAUAUAUGUGUUUUGGUUGUUUUAGAUAUUUAAAAAAAAUAUAUAUAUAUCAUACAGUUGUUUGUGGUGGGGUAAAUUAAACACGAUAUGCAGUGACGUCACAAUCGUGUUGCAUUGUGGUAUAUGGAGCUGCCUGAAGUGUACAUAUGAAGUAGACUUGCUCCCUCGGUCAGCGAGGGUCUAUCCAUAUAAACUUCCCUUGUCUCACUUCAAAAUGGCGGCAGGGAUUCCCCCGAGGGGAAGUGCUUAGGGAAGUUCGCGAGUGCAUGUCUAAAAGUGGAGUGGAACGCAGCCCUAGUCUUCUACAAAUGGUUCGCUCAGAUACAUUUCAGAUACAUACACAGAUGACAUUUCCCCUCUUGACAGUCGACUGCGAGUGACGUCAGUUCCCAUACAAACACGCCCCAUAGUAUAGUCCCACCUCUGACGCUGAUUGACAGGUUUCCGUAUAAGGCAUCGGAAAUUCAAAUGCUAAAUAAAUUGCGAUUGCAUUUGAGUUUUGGCAGGCUACAUAUGCGACACAAAGAAAAUGAAAAAGCAAAUGUGGUAAUUGAGAUUGCUAUUUAAAAAUGACAGGGUCAUGUAAGACAUGGUAAAUACAGUUGCAAAUGGACUUUGCUUUUUUUUGCAUUUAAAAUUUGGCAGUCACUGCGUUUGUGACAGCGAAAACACAAACGGUAAUGCAAGAUUUGCAAUUGUGUUUGGAUUAGGCCACAAUUUAUGCAUCCACAUAUGGAAAACACAAUUGCAAAUACAAUUUGCAAUUUCUUUUGAAAAUAGUCCAGAAUAUCUUCCAUAGGCAAGUAUAACCACUAGAACGUAGAUUAGAUUACAAUAGUGUUCAUUAAGUUACAAACUUAGAGGUUGCUCUGAAAAACCUCACUCAUCAAGUAAGAAUUCAUGGUCAUAUCGUUUUUAAUAAAUCACUGAUUGCAAUGAA